UAGAGUUUGAUCCUGGCUCAGAUUGAACGCUGGCGGCAGGCCUAACACAUGCAAGUCGAGCGGCAGCACAAGGGAGUUUACUCCUGAGGUGGCGAGCGGCGGACGGGUGAGUAAUGCCUAGGGAUCUGCCCAGUCGAGGGGGAUAACAGUUGGAAACGACUGCUAAUACCGCAUACGCCCUACGGGGGAAAGGAGGGGACCUUUUGGCCUUCCGCGAUUGGAUGAACCUAGGUGGGAUUAGCUAGUUGGUGAGGUAAUGGCUCACCAAGGCGACGAUCCCUAGCUGUUCUGAGAGGAUGAUCAGCCACACUGGGACUGAGACACGGCCCAGACUCCUACGGGAGGCAGCAGUGGGGAAUAUUGCACAAUGGGGGAAACCCUGAUGCAGCCAUGCCGCGUGUGUGAAGAAGGCCUUCGGGUUGUAAAGCACUUUCAGUAGGGAGGAAAGGUUGUAAGUUAAUACCUUGCAGCUGUGACGUUACCUACAGAAGAAGGACCGGCUAACUCCGUGCCAGCAGCCGCGGUAAUACGGAGGGUCCAAGCGUUAAUCGGAAUUACUGGGCGUAAAGCGUGCGCAGGCGGUUUGUUAAGCGAGAUGUGAAAGCCCCGGGCUCAUCCUGGGAAUUGCAUUUCGAACUGGCAAACUAGAGUCUUGUAGAGGGGGGUAGAAUUCCAGGUGUAGCGGUGAAAUGCGUAGAGAUCUGGAGGAAUACCGGUGGCGAAGGCGGCCCCCUGGACAAAGACUGACGCUCAGGCACGAAAGCGUGGGGAGCAAA
rnacentral:rRNA from 1 species